rnacentral:lncRNA from 1 species
AAAGGGGUUUCCUGGAAUAGGGCAAGGUGACAUUAAUAUGUAAAUGAAGUAAAAAUUGGGUAAGUGAAGGUUUCAUUCAACAUGAUAAUGAUGCAAUGUGUAUUCCUGCUAUGGUGCUUAUCUGAAGAUAGUUUUAAUCCUCCUGAAGAACCUGAUAGCCAGAUACUUAUUCUUGAAGUACUAUUGUUACUAAGUCUCAGAUCUCUAGGAGGGUAUAAUUUUGUAACUCCAGAAUGCCCUGCACCAUUGCUGAAAAAUUUAGAAAACACUGUUUCUUCUUUGCAACCUCUCUGAUGCUGCUGAGUCCAGGGCACUGCUGUUUCACAGCCUUCAUCCUGUCCAACAGUCCUGGGAAGAGAGCACAGCAGGGACAGAAAUGAGAAAAGCCAGACUUCGAAGCCUAAUUUUCAGGGGCUCACAUCACUUCUGUUCCUGUGUCGUGGGACCAUCCAGCAGCAGCACAUAAUUGAAAGUCAUCUGACUCACAGGAUUGGGAGUGAACCUGGCAGGCCCUGGAACAGAUCUUCACUGACUGGCAUGUGUGAAGAAGACACCGUGGGAUCAGCUUGAUGUCCUUACAUGUGCACUAGUUCAUCCUGCUGUGACACAUACUCUGGAUGUGCUAAUGCAGUAUUGGAUUGCAUUCCCCAUGGGCUGCUGGAGGAACUAAGGGUGCAACCUGGAAGUACAGGGGAGUUAAUGUCCUGUAAGGAAUAUUCCAAGGGAGAAGGGAGCCAGCCCAUAAAUUCUCCUCCCUUCCUUCCUUGGCAAUUCAGCAUAAUCAAUCCACUAUGCUUGUCACAAAGCUGUAGCCAUGCCUGGUACAUUUGCUUCCCUUGCCUUUCCUCUCAUUUUUGCUUCCCAAGAUUUUAAUACUCAAUAAAACAUUAGCACUGUAAUGUAAGCUGUUC